AUUGAACGCUGGCGGCAGGCCUAACACAUGCAAGUCGAGCGGAUGAAGGGAGCUUGCUCCUGGAUUCAGCGGCGGACGGGUGAGUAAUGCCUAGGAAUCUGCCUGGUAGUGGGGGAUAACGUCCGGAAACGGGCGCUAAUCCCGCAUCCGUCCUGAGGUCGAAAGUGGGGGAUCUUCGGACCUCUCGCUUUCAUAUGAGCAUAGGUCGGAUUCGCUAGUUGGUGGGGUAAAGGCCUACCAAGGCGACGAUCCGUAACUGGUCUGAGAGGAUGAUCAGUCACACUGGAACUGAGACAGGGUCCAGACUCCGACGGGAGGCAGCAGUGGGGAAUAUUGCGCGAUGGGGGAAAGCCUGAUCCAGCCAUGCCGCGUGUGUGAAGAAGGUCUUCGGAUUGGAGAGCGCUGUAAGUUGGGAGGAAGGGAAGUAAGUUAAUACCUGGCUGUUUUGACGUUACCAACAGAAUAAGCACCGGCUAACUUCGUG
rnacentral:rRNA from 1 species